rnacentral:rRNA from 1 species
ACGGGAGGCAGCAGUAGGGAAUCUUCCGCAAUGGACGAAAGUCUGACGGAGCAACGCCGCGUGAGUGAUGAAGGUUUUCGGAUCGUAAAGCUCUGUUGUUAGGGAAGAACAAGUACCGUUCGAAUAGGGCGGUACCUUGACGGUACCUAACCAGAAAGCCACGGCUAACUACGUGCCAGCAGCCGCGGUAAUACGUAGGUGGCAAGCGUUGUCCGGAAUUAUUGGGCGUAAAGGGCUCGCAGGCGGUUUCUUAAGUCUGAUGUGAAAGCCCCCGGCUCAACCGGGGAGGGUCAUUGGAAACUGGGGAACUUGAGUGCAGAAGAGGAGAGUGGAAUUCCACGUGUAGCGGUGAAAUGCGUAGAGAUGUGGAGGAACACCAGUGGCGAAGGCGACUCUCUGGUCUGUAACUGACGCUGAGGAGCGAAAGCGUGGGGAGCGAACAGGAUUAGAUACCCUGGUAGUCCACGCCGUAAACGAUGAGUGCUAAGUGUUAGGGGGUUUCCGCCCCUUAGUGCUGCAGCUAACGCAUUAAGCACUCCGCCUGGGGAGUACGGUCGCAAGACUGAAACUCAAAGGAAUUGACGGGGGCCCGCACAAGCGGUGGAGCAUGUGGUUUAAUUCGAAGCAACGCGAAGAACCUUACCAGGUCUUGACAUCCUCUGACAAUCCUAGAGAUAGGACGUCCCCUUCGGGGGCAGAGUGACAGGUGGUGCAUGG